GCCAAGACAAAAAUUACCAAUUUCUCUCAAUUAAGCUGGGAAAAGUUCAUUACUUGUACAAAAAAUGGCUAGAAUUGAGAGAAUAUAUAGGCACUGCAUUGAGUUGGGAGAUGAUAAUAUACCACCUUUACCAGAGAAUGGGGGGUAUCAUCGUGAGUGUUAUUAACGCUAUACGUGCAAAAGUAAGAUAGAGCGCCAGGAAAAACGGAAACGCGAUGAACACACCAGUUCGAUCAAUUCUGUUGAGGCUGACGUAUCAAACAGCGGGCAUGAAACUGAUGACGAAGAAGACACUAGACCAAGGAUGUUACUCCGGUCAUCAAGACAAGAUGCUACUCCAGGAGUCCAGAGAACAUCUCACGUGCUUCCUCGCCAGUGCAUCCUAUGUCGAAAAAAAAAAAACACAAGCGAGACCGUGUUACAAAAAAGUCGUGUGAAGAACGGUUGUCCCAGUGUGAAACCUUACAAGCUGGAUGCUUAAUAAAAGGUGCAAAACAAAAGAAAGAUGAGGUUUUGCUCCUGCAUUUACAAAAUGUGGACCCUGUUGAUGCAGAAGUAUGCUAUCACCAUAGUUGCUACGUUACGUACACUCGAUUUUUACGUGCUACAGAGAGUCGAGGACCUGUUGAUACGAAGUAUACGAAAUCAUUCAAAACGUUAUGCAGUGACUUUGUUAUACCAAGAAUCGUUGUCAAUAAAGAAGUGUUACGACUGACAACUCUGACUGAAGUAUUCGGAGGCUUCGUUAAAAGCACAGAGAAUAUGGACGCGUCAAGCUACCGCACGUCAAAUCUCAAAAAACGUCUCAAAGCAGAACACCCUGAAAUAGUAUUUCUUAAAGCUUUAAAGUGUACUCAAAGUGAACUGGUAUUUGUUGAAUCAUUGAGUGCCCAUGACAUUGUGGAAGAGAAAGUAAACCUGCAGGAAGAGAUGUUGCCUGGUACUGAGACUGAGACUGAGAGAGAAACUGAGACAGAGGAAGAUACUGUUGAUAUUGCUGCUAGCCGUUCAUUUUUGGAGCCAAAUACUCGAGACAUUUUUGCAACUGCUAUGCAUCUUCGUGACACUAUUGCUAACACUCCAGCCACUUUUGAACAGUGGCCGAGGACUUGAACUUGAUUUAACAGUUGGCCAUGGAGAUCAAUGCCAUCAGUUACAAUUUCAUGGAAAUGAGACAGUACCAAUGAUGACACCAGUGGACGAGUUGUUUUGCUCACAUGAGGAGGCAGGCACUCGCUUGUUGCACCAUGCAUUGUUCGCCACUAGAACUACCGGUACCAAAGAUAUUGUAAUUCAGUCUCCUGACACCGAUGUGCUUGUUUUGGCCGUUUCAAAAAGCAAGGAUCUGAACUGUAAGCUACUCUUUGAAACGGGAACUGGUAAUGCUUGCCGAGUGUUGGAUGUUGUGGCUAUUCACGAGCACCUUUCAGGCAUACACACCUCCAUCCCAGAGGCGCUGAUAGGGUUCCAUACAUUCACAGGUUGUGACAGCGUCAGUGCUUUCUUCGGAAAGGGAAAGCUGAAGCGUUUUAAGCUCUUAAUCGCAGAAACAAAGUUCACAGAGCUGUUUGUGGGCAUCGGUGCUUCGUUUGAGUUGCCACUUUCGGACCGCAUUGAGGAACUAGCUGAAUAGUUUGUUUCAUCUAUGUAUGGCAUAGUGUCGACAAAAAUCAACUGAACGAGGGUCAAACUCUUUAAAACUGGCAAACACAUGGACGACACCCUCCCUCCUAAUCUUGACUCCUUGCUCAAACAUCUCUUGAGGGCCAACUAUCAAGCUGGCAUUCAUCGGCGCUGCCUGGAGUCAAACCCUGAUGUACCAAGUCCUGAUAGUCAUGGAUGGAGGGUUGAAGAUAAAAAUCUCAAAAUCAAGUGGAUGGAUCUCCUCCCUGCACCUGACUCUAUUCUUGAGUUAAAUAACUGUAAAUGCAAGAUGAAACGGCCAGGGGCCAUUGUGCUCACCGUAAGUAUUUUUAGUAGACAGUUACAGAAAGUGCUACAGUAUGUAGGCCUCUC